rnacentral:lncRNA from 1 species
UGACUGUGUAUAUGAGCACCAUUGAAGGGAGACAGGGUUCUACUCAGGGAAUGCAUCCACUUCUUCUGAAAAUACCGAAUUAUGGUCUCUCUCCCUCCCGUGGAUUCAAAAGAUGGGAAAACGAUGGAGAGCAAUGAUCUACCAUGAAAAAAAAAAGCGUCAUGUGCUGCAGUGGGAAGAGAACCCGACUCCAUUGGUUGCAUACGUGGGCAAAACAGAAAUUCAUCUAUACACAAGCCCACCGUGGGCUUCCGCCCAUGUGAUCACAAUAAUCUGAGCUCAUGCUAGUGUGUUUGAAAUUUGGGAUCAUUAUGCAGUCCUAACGUAAAAAAGAGUCUUUAAAAAGUCCUUUAUUCAUUUUAUUUGAUUUUCCUUUUUAUGUGUGAUAUUA